CGCUUAGUCAACCCCAGUUUGUCAUGUUAUUUGACUGAUGGUAUAUCACUUAUGUUUCCAGGCUCUGCUGUAUGUGGAAAUACCAGUAGAGUUUGUCCAUAUGAGUGUGUGCCAUACCUUUUCUCUGGAACAGGCUCUCCCAGCUUCACCUGCGUUUCUCCAACAGGUGAUGACCCAGCGGUGUGUGAUACAACCUAUGCUGGAAUCCUUUCACUUAUAGGUGGGUUUUUAGCAAUUAAUCCAACAUAUUUAGAUCUCUUAUGGUGUAUGUAUACAUCAUCUGUGGAACUGUACAAAAGAUCAUAUCAAUCAGAUGUAAGGAGAGAUUCAAAUGAUAUGUGAUAUAAAUGUGUCAGUGCCUUUAUGGUUUAUAUAGACACAGCAGCUGUUUAUAUGCAAAACAACUGUAACCCUUUAUUUUAAUUUUAAGGUACACAUUGGCCACUAAUUUGUAGUUUAUCAGUCUAUAUAAGUAGCUAAUACAGCAUUUUACAGUGCCUUUGGAAAUUAUUCAGACUCCUGACUUUUUCCACAUUUUGUUACAUUACAGCCUUAUUCUAUAAUUGACUAAAUCGUUUUUUUUCUCAAUUUCUUCUUCUUUUUUUUUCUUUUUUUUUUUACAAAUGUAGUUCAAAUAAACUGAUCCCAUUUACUUAGAUAUUCAGACCCUUCACUCAGUACUUUGUUGGCACACCUGUAUUUGGGGAGUUUCUCCCAUUCUUCUCUGCAGUUCCUCUCAAGCUUAGGGUCGUUGUUCUAUUGGAAGGUGAACCUUCGCCCCCAGUCUGAGGUCCUGAGCGCUCUGAAGCAGGUUUUAAUCAAGGAUCUCUCUGUACUUUGCUCUGUUCAUCUUUGCUUCGAUCCUGACUAGUCUCUCAGUCCCUGCCGCUGAAAAACAUCCCCACAGCAUGAUGCUGCCACCACCAUGCUUCACUGUCGUGACGCUUGGCAUUCAGGCCAAAGACUUCAAUCUUGGUUUCAUCAGACCAGAGAAUCUUGUUUCUCAUGGUCUGAGAGUCUUUCGGUUCCUUUUGGCAAACUCCAAGCGUCUGUCAUGUGCCUUUUACUGAGGAGUGGCUUCUGUCUGGCCACUACUAUAAAGGCGGAGGAGUGCUUCUGAGAUUGUAGUCCUUCUGGAAGUUUCACCCAUCUCCACAGAGGAGCUCUGUCAGUGACAUAUCACUGCCAAAGGCUGUACUUGCUGCCAAAGGUGCUUCAACAAAGUACUGAGUAAAGUGUCUGAAUACUUAUAUAAAUGUGAUAAUUCAAUUUUUUGUUCUUAAUAAAUUAGCAAAAAUUUCUGAACUAGUUUUGUCUUUGUCAUUAUGGGGUAUUGUGUGUAGAUUGGGGGGGGGGGGCAUUUAAUCAAUUUUAGAAUAAGGAUUUAAUAUAACAAAAUGUGGAAAAAGUAAAGGUCUGAAUACUUUCCGACUGCACUGUACGAAUUUUAUAUCUUAACUUUUUGACAACCAAGGUAACAUUUUCUGAAGGCUACAGCAUUGACCCGUUGAACCGAAACUGCCGUUAGUGCCGUUAGUGACAUGAUACAGCGCACUGGCUGGCUCGUGUGUGUGUGGUGUGGCAAUGCACUACCAUUUUGAGUGCAGCACGUUGGCAGUACUUGCUGUGACUUGUUGUGCAAUGCAGCGCAUCAUGGGCCAAAAAUGAAUUUACAAUACAAAUCAUUGCGUGGCCAGAUAGAAAUGUCACGGGCCGAAUUCGACCAAUGGCCCUUGUUUGACACGUGCCUUAGUUCUACAUUGAGACAGCAUACUUAUUCUGUUUCUUGUAAUAAAGAAAUGUACACACCAAACAAAAAUAUAAACGCAAUAUGUAAAGUGUUGGUCACAUGUUUCAUAAGCUGAAAUAAAAUAUCCCAGAAAAUAUCCCAGAAAUGUUUCAGAAAUGUUUAUGCAUGUUUCAUAUGCAUAAAACGCUUAUUUGUCUACACAAAUGUAUUUACAUCCCUGUUAGUGAGAAUUUCUCCUUUGCCAAGAUAAUCCAUCCACCUGCCAGGUGUGGGAUAUGAAGAAGCUUAUUAAAUAGCAUGAUCAUUACUCAGUACACCUUGUGCUGGGGGCAAUGAAAGGCCAUUCUAAAAUAUGCAGUUUUGUCACACAAUACCACAGAUGUCUCCAAUUUUGAGUGAGCAUGCAUGCUGACUGCAGAAAUGUCCACCAGAGCUUUUGCCAGAGAAUUGAAUGUACAUUUCUCUAGCAUAAGCCGCCUCAAGUCAUUUCAGAGAAUUUGGCAGUACGUCCAACCGCAGACCGCGUGUAUAGUAUCGCCUGGACGAGGGGUUUGCUGAUGUCAAAGUUGUGAGCACAGUGCCACAUGGUGGCGGUGGGGUUAUGGUAUCGGCAGGCAUCAGCUACAGACAACAAUUGUAUUUUAUCAAUGGCAAUUUGAAUGCACAGGGAUACGGUGACCAGAUCCUGAGGCCCAUUGUUGUGCCAUUCAUCCGCCGCCAUUCAAUAUAAUAAUGCACAGCCCCAUGUCGCAAGGAUCUGUACACAUUUCCCGGAAGCUGAACUUUUUCCAGUUCUUCUAUGGCCUGCGUACUCACCAGACAUGUCACCCAUUGAGCAUGUUUGGAAUGCUCUGUACGACAGCGUGUUCCAGUUCCUGCCCAUAUCCAGCAACUUCACACAGCCAUUAAAGAGUGGGACAACAUUCCACCAGCCACAACAGCCUGAUCAACACUAUGCGAAGGAGAUGUGGUGCUGCAUGAAGUAAAUGGUGGUCACACCAGAUACUGACUGGUUUUCUUAUCCACGGCCCAAUUUUCUUUUUUUUGGGGGGGGGGGGUCCAUAGAUCAGGGCCUAAUUUAUUUAUUUCAAUCGACUGAUUUCCUUAUGAACUGUAACUCAUUAGUCUUUGAAAUUCUUGCGUUAUAUUUUUGUUCAGUAUAAAUGUCUAUAUUAAGGAUUGGCCAGUAAAUCAUGAUUUUGAAUAUGAACACGAUUAAGGCCUAAUAUAUCGAUCGCUUGGGACUGACUAUGUUCUAUCUGCAUUUUGGUCAGAAUUUCAUUAUCGACAGCCUUGUUCCUCUACCUUGUUUCUCUACCAAUAUAGUACUCAAAAUACCCCUGUUAAUGUUCAAAAGAAUACAAGAUAAAAAUCUGACAAUAUUCAAACCAACAAAGGUUUCUGAACUUUAAAGCCAAUUAUCUCAGAAUCAUCUUUUUGCAGAUAGUACCUUAAAAUCCAAAGCUCUCGAUGGCUAAUAAGACAUAUGUAUUAACAUAUGUAAACGCACAUUUAAACUAUACAUUAGUGGUAGUACUUUAUUAUUGUUUAAUAUAAAAUCUUACCUCAAACUAACCGCUCUAUAUUCUGCCCGGUGGUGGUGGAGGGAUGCGUUCAAGCCCUCCAGGACACUCGCCUUCCAAGAUUUCUCCCUGAAAGAGUCCCAGGAUCCACUGUCAAGGUAAGCCCUGCCAUUGAAC
rnacentral:lncRNA from 1 species